UCUAUCACCAAACUUCGUGGAGUUCAUCUGGUUCGGAGGUGCAGCAGCAUUCCCAUGACAGCUUAUUUCCAUCACUGGAAGAGGAAUGCCAGGCCUCCAUUCUCUCCUCUCUCCUUACCACUUGGCUGACUCAUAAGUCCUCGGCACAAAAGAGGCAGAAGAAAUAGGAAAGGGAAA